rnacentral:rRNA from 1 species
GACGAACGCUGGCGGCGUGCUUAACACAUGCAAGUCGAACGGAAAGGCCCUGCUUUUGUUGGUUUCUCGAUUGGCGAACGGGGGAGUAACACGUGAGUAACCUGCCCUUGUCUGUGGGAUAACUUCACGAAACUCGGGCUAAUACCGGGUAUGAGCUCCUGCUGCAUUGUGGUGGUUGGUAAGUUUCGGCUGUUGUGGCUGGGUUCGCGGCUUAUCAGCUUGUUGGUGUGGUAGUGGCUGACCAAGGCUUUGACGGGAAGCCGGCCUGAGAGGGUGACCGGCCACAUUGGGACUGAGAUACGGCCCAGAAUCCUACGGGAGGCAGCAGUGGGGAAUAUUGCACAAUGGGCGGAAGCCUGAUGCAGAAACGCCGCGUGCGGGAUGACCGCCUUCGGGUUGUAAACCGAUUUGGAAUGUGACGAAGCGUGCGUGACGGUAAUGGGUAAAGAAGCAACGGCUAACUACGUG